rnacentral:rRNA from 1 species
GGCCUAUUGAAAGAAGAUUUUAGGUCUAACCUGCCCCCUGAUGUAUUUAAAUGGCCGCGGUAUUUUGACUGUGCUAAGGUAGCAUAAUAAUUAGUUUUUUAAUUGAAAGCUAGAAUGAAUGGUAUUAUGAAAAAAUUACUGUCUCUUUUAAAAAAUUAAAAUUUUAUUUUUAAGUUAAAAAGCUUAAAUAUUGUUAAAAGACGAGAAGACCCUAUAGAAUUUUAUUUAAAUUAAUUUUUAAUAAGUUAGUAUAUAAAAUUUAAAGAUAAGUUUAUAUUUAGUUGGGGUGAUUAGAAAAAUUAAGUAUCUUUUUUUUAUUCAAACAUUAAUUUAUGAUUUUAUGAUUCACAUUAGUGAUUUAAGAAUAAAUUACCUUAGGGAUAACAGCGUAAUUUUUUUUUAGAGUUCUAAUCAAAAAAAAAGAUUGCGACCUCGAUGUUGGAUUAAAAUUUAUUUUUGGUGUAGUAGCUAAAGUAUUAAGUCUGUUCGACUUUUAAAAUUUUACA